rnacentral:rRNA from 1 species
GAUGAACGCUAGCUACAGGCUUAACACAUGCAAGUCGAGGGGAAACGACAUCGAAAGCUUGCUUUUGAUGGGCGUCGACCGGCGCACGGGUGAGUAACGCGUAUCCAACCUGCCCGUCACUUGGGGAUAACCUUGCGAAAGUAAGACUAAUACCCGAUGAUAUCCCUAGAAGACAUCUGAAAGGGAUUAAAGAUUUAUCGGUGAUGGAUGGGGAUGCGUCUGAUUAGCUUGUUGGCGGGGUAACGGCCCACCAAGGCAACGAUCAGUAGGGGUUCUGAGAGGAAGGUCCCCCACAUUGGAACUGAGACACGGUCCAAACUCCUACGGGAGGCAGCAGUGAGGAAUAUUGGUCAAUGGGCGAGAGCCUGAACCAGCCAAGUAGCGUGCAGGAUGACGGCCCUAUGGGUUGUAAACUGCUUUUAUAAGGGAAUAAAGUGAGCCUCGUGAGGCUUUUUGCAUGUACCUUAUGAAUAAGGACCGGCUAAUUCCGUG